CAAGCGGUGGAGUAUGUGGUUUAAUUCGAUGCAACGCGAAGAACCUUACCUGGUCUUGACAUCCCGGAGACCCUUAGGAAACUAGGGGUGCUUCCAUCUGGAAGAAUCUGGAGACAGGUGCUGCAUGGCUGUCGUCAGCUCGUGUCGUGAGAUGUUGGGUUAAGUCCCGCAACGAGCGCAACCCUUGCCUUUAGUUGCCAGCAGUUCGGCUGGGCACUCUAAAGGGACUGCCGGUGUUAAACCGGAGGAAGGUGGGGAUGACGUCAAGUCCUCAUGGCCUUUAUGACCAGGGCUACACACGUACUACAAUGGCCGAUACAAAGGGCAGCGACACUGCGAGGUGAAGCCAAUCCCGUAAAAUCGGUCUCAGUCCGGAUUGGAGUCUGCAACUCGACUCCAUGAAGUUGGAAUCGCUAGUAAUCGUGGAUCAGCAUGCCACGGUGAAUACGUUCCCGGGCCUU
rnacentral:rRNA from 1 species